rnacentral:tRNA from 1 species
GCCGGGAUGGCCCAGUCUGGUACGGCGCGGGCCUGCUAAGCCCGUUCUCUUCGGAGAUCAGGGGUUCAAAUCCCCUUCCCGGCG